GGUUAAAAUUAAUUAACCUUACAAGAAUACUAGAGAAAAUGUUAAGAUGAAUGUAUUAGCGAUAGUAGGAGUGAAUCAUACAAUGGGUUAAUAAGCAUUAAUUGGAAAAUCCUAGAUUCGAUUCCUUGUGCAGGUCUGUUCCCAGGCAUGUUUAAUAAUGUUAUCAUGAUAUUAUCGUGUUGUUAACGUUUUCUCAGUUCAAGAAUUCCUUAUGUUAUUGCUUGGAAAUUUGUCCAAAAACUAUGCAAUGUUUACCAUUGUGGAACUUGCAUUCAUUCACUAAUUGUAAGAGAAGUCUCAGCUUGUUGUUCCAGCCUUUUAAUGUUGAAAAGUCAGAGAGAAACAGAGAGAGAGAGAGAGAGAGAGAGAGAGUAUUGAAAAAAUAGUUAACAUUUUAUGGCAAUUGCCGUGAAUUUUUGUUUUAUUACAUUGUAGCUUUACGCACCUUCUUGUUUCUGUGAAUAAGGUGUGCUGUUUGUUAAUAUAUUAUUUUUAUUUUAAAGUUAUUCAUUUUAAAAUUCUUUUAUAUAACAAAAAAAAUUAUAGAAUUACACGAUAUUUAUUUAAUGUAUAAAGAAUGAUGUAUAUUUUUCUGUUUUUGUUUUUGAAACUCGUGAUAUUAUUAUCUCAUUGAUUGAAUACUACUUCUUAAACAAGUGUAAGAAACAUAUUUUUGUAUCUUAAAAAAAAUUGUAUUAAAUGACGAAAAUAAAGGCUUGUAUUUUGUG
rnacentral:sRNA from 1 species